AUUGAACGCUGGCGGCAGGCCUAACACAUGCAAGUCGAACGAGUGGCGGACGGGUGAGUAAUGUCUGGGAAACUGCCUGAUGGAGGGGGAUAACUACUGGACACGGUAGCUAAUACCGCAUACUCUUAGAUGUGCCUAUAUGGGAUUAGCUAGUUGGUGGGGUAAUGGAUCACCAAGGCGACGAUCCCUAGCUGGGCUGAGAGUAUGACCAGCCACACUGGAACGUAGACACUGUCCAGACUCCUACGGGAGGCAGCAGUGGGGAAUAUUGCACAAUGGGCGCAAGCCUGAUGCAGCCAUGCCGCGUGUAUGAAGAAGGCCUUAGGGUUGUAAAGUACUUUCAGCGGGGAGGCGUUACCCGCAGAAGAAGCACCGGCUAACUCCGUGCCAGCAGCCGCGGUAAUUC
rnacentral:rRNA from 1 species